CUUAACCGAAGUUCUCCUCGUAUGUAAUCUGGCCACAGAAAAUAUACUGCCCGCAGUUCUCGUUUUGUCCAUCAGAGGGCAGGCGUUGACUGACUGUGAAACAAAGCGUGUGUGGGAAUGUCUUUUUUAAGUUGUAACAUUAUUCCAUUAACGAAGUGAAAAUCUUAACUUGCUGUUUGGUUCACACCAAUCUCGAAACGUAUGUUAUGACAACCAUAGACAACGACCUACCUAUGGGGACGAUAUAUCCGGGGCACCGGUAGUGCCGGAUAUCCGGGGCUAGAAUUCCUCAUCCGUCGGCGUGUAAUUGUUUACAGUCCGAAGAGCAACUUUAAACGCAAGUAUUGAGUUGCAGCAUAUAUUUUUAUUUGCAGGCAAGUCUAACGUUGCUAUACUCGUUUUAUCUAUGCAUAUUCAUUUUUUGAAUAGUUUUCUGUUCAAAGAUCUCAACCGAAGUUCAACUCCUAUGAUUUCGCCUUCCUUGCCACAGAAAUCCAAUAGUAUCCAGCUGCAGCCCCGGAGAACACCCUGGCAUGACAGAACACCACCCAGGCGGGACAGAAGUACUGUGGCUGGACGGAAGUUACCUCCGAUUAUUUUUUCUAUAGACAAAUAAACUUAUUUAUCGCUUGAAUUAACAAAACAUAGAAAUAAAAAAAUAUUUCGACACGUUAGUAACCAUUUUAGAGCUUAAAAAAGGUUUAACGUUAUUUAGACAAAUACCUCAGGAUUUUUUCUUAUUAGACCAAAAAAAUAGAAUAAAACAAUGUUAUGACAUGUCAGUAAGCUUUUUUUAUAACUUAAUUUUGUUAACGUUAUUUAGACGAAUAAACUGAUUUAGGGUGUAGACAAUUAUUUUAUGGAAUUGUGUAUUAUACACUUUACUCAUUAAGUAAUUGACCAUUAGAAUUAAGUAAUUUUUUUUAAUAUGUCUAAUAGAAUCAAAUUUUUUUUUUUGUAAAGUAUAUCAUCAUAAUUUGAUAUAAAUAUACAUUGAAGAAUAACCACACCAAAGUUUCCUCACAAUUUAUUUAACAAAUAAUCUACAGAAUCCUAAAGAUAUAGCUUCUUCAUGAACUGCCAUCAGCUCCAAAUCACUGUCAAAAGAAUCAAACAGUCAAAUCAAUAUUAAGCCUAAACAAUAUAUUAUUUGUAUUCUGUCACUGGAAACGUUAUUCACUUCUCUUUUUCGCCUCAGUCUGAAGACUGGUGGAAGUAGUCCAGCCGCCAUUUGUUUGGCCUCCUCCAUGAAGUGUGGGAACCUUCUGCAGUGCCUGUAUAAAUAAAGAGAAAUGAUUAUGUAAAGCCGUUCCGCCGAAUUCAACAACCGUAGAAACAGAGGAAAGGACACAACAUUAUCGAGACCAAUCUCAUGGGCCCUGAUGAACCGGUGAAACGGAUAAGUCUGAUGAAUUUAACCACGGGUCGAACCAAUGAUGGGGCAAGAGUGGUGUUUUUUGUUUUUUUAAACAUAAGGGGUAACGCUGUCUUCUUUUUUAUCGGGCUUAAUGAAAAAAACAA
ensembl:lncRNA